GUACCUGGGUCUCUACAUUUCUGUGCUGUUUCAGCUUAAAAUGCUGCCAGCCAGGCUAAUGUUCUCAGUGGUGUUUGAGUGAUGGAACAGGGAGAAAAAUGUGCUUGGUAAGCUGUCAAACAAUUCCUUUUCUGGAACUGCAGUCUCUUCAGGAUCCGACACCUAUGUUAGGAACUGGCACUGUUUCUUGUCUUCAGUAGUGAAAAACAUGUACAAUUUUUUUUUUUUUUUGAGAGGUUAGCUAAAAUCCCUCUCUUCAUGUGAAAUUCAGCUGAAAAGAAGACACUAGUUUUUACUUUUUUUUUUUUUUGCUUAAAUCAGCUACACUAUUAAGUUGAAUAAACCUGUAAUGUCAAAGUAAGGUUUUAGACUGUCUAUAAUGUCAGAAACAUAAUCUUGUCUACUUUAGGCCUUUGUGAUGUGCUCUGCAGCUAAUAAGGUGAUGUUUGAAAUUUC